rnacentral:tRNA from 1 species
AAGGUAAUAGCUCAGUGGUACAGCACCUGCUUAGCAUGCACAAGGCCCUGGGUUCAAUCCCCAAUACCUUC